GGGCUCGUGGUCUAGGGGUUAUGACGUCGCGCUUACAACGCGGAGGUCGCCGGUUCGAAUCCGGCCGAGCCCA
rnacentral:tRNA from 2 species